rnacentral:tmRNA from 1 species
GGGGCCGACUGGUUUUGACAGCGGGUCUAAUUGUAUGGUAAGCAUGCCGAGCGCCGGAAUACAGCUCGUAAAUCUCAUAUUUCAGACUUUUUUAAACGGCGAGAAUAACUACGCCCUAGCUGCAUAACCCGAAGUUUAGUACGGUAUGCCUCGGUUCGCAAGGCGAACAAGCAGGAAGUCGCUCGAAAGCCUUGGUUUACGGCAUUCGAUUCAGCGGCUUCGUGAAAGUAAACCUAGCUUGUGCAGUGCUUCGAUGCACAGGUGAAACUUGAGAAGCUAAGGGAUGCGUUGGUAGUUUUCAACCGGCAAGUCCUCGAAAAUCCAAAUGAAAACUAAGCAUGUAGAAAGCUGUAGAAUUGCACGUUUGGACGGGAGUUCGAAUCUCCCCGGCUCCACAA